GGGCGUAUCGUCUAACGGCAAGGACUUCUGGUUCUCAACCAGACGGUCGGGGUUCGAAUCCCCGUACGCUCGCCA
rnacentral:tRNA from 1 species